rnacentral:rRNA from 1 species
UCCGAUGGGGGCUCUCGUUGUUCGGAAUUACUGGGCGUAAAGCGCACGUAGGCGGAUUAGUAAGUCAGGGGUGAAAUCCCGGGGCUCAACCUCGGAACUGCCUUUGAUACUGCUGAUCUCGAGUCCGGAAGAGGUGAGUGGAAUUCCUAGUGUAGAGGUGAAAUUCGUAGAUAUUAGGAAGAACACCAGUGGCGAAGGCGGCUCACUGGUCCGGUACUGACGCUGAGGUGCGAAAGCGUGGGGAGCAAACAGG